UACGUAGGGGGCAAGCGUUGUCCGGAAUCAUUGGGCGUAAAGAGCGUGUAGGCGGCCCGAUAAGUCCGCUGUGAAAGUCCAGGGCUCAACCCUGGAAUGCCGGUGGAUACUGUCGGGCUCGAAUCCGGAAGAGGUGAGUGGAAUUCCGUGGUGUAGCGGUGAAAUGCGCAGAUAUCAGGAAGAACACCCGUGGCGAAGGCGGCUCUCUGGGACGGUACUGACGCUGAGACGCGAAAGCCAGGGGAGCGAACGGG
rnacentral:rRNA from 1 species